AACUGACGCCGACCCCCUUUUUCCUCCUCUUCCGCUGUUUCUUCUCUCACGCAGGCGCCGCGCGCGAUCAAUAGCCAGGUCGGUCGCCAUCGCUAGCCUCUGCCCUUGCGAGCAGCCAGGGGUUGGUGCCCCUCCUCCCCUUCGUGCUGACCUUCGCGCCGACCAUCUGCAGCCAUGAGUCACCGUCGGAGAAGAAGAAAAGAAGAUAGGUGUCUCCGCUCCAUGCGUGCCCGAAGUCGCGGACCGUCGUCGCGACGGUCGCCACAAGAACCCGACUGGAGGUCUCUCCUCCCUCUUCUCCUCUGUCCCUGAUCAGCACUGUAGCUGCCGUCGCCAAGCCCUUUUCCGACCCUACCAUUGGGUUGUGCCCUAUUUCUUCUCCGCAUUGCCUCCUCCUCUCGGUGUCUGUCCAGCCACCGCAGCCAAUUGCCGCUCAAUUUCAAGACACCGACACCCCACUCCUGUGUGUUGCUGCAUCUCUUCCUUCAUGAUCCAUCGACGCCCUAUUUCACCGCACCUUUGCUCAGCAUCACCGCACGAUUGGGUUAAUGCCACGCUAUUUCCACUCUCCUCUGCCUUGGGAUGGCACCGUAGCAAUAUUUGGAUUUCCUCAUAGAGGAAGUUACAGAUUUGGCUAAGGGGAAUGUUUUGAUUUGGAGGGUUGUACAGUCACCUAGUUUCGACCAUCUUGUUCCUAUAAUGAACAUCCCCAGCCGUGAGUCGAAGGAGGAGCAAUUUGAAAUGAUGUAAGUUGUAUAUGGAGAUUGGUUUGUAUUUUGUAAUGGAUUGGUUGAUUUCGGUUGAUGGUGUUAGGUUGACAUAGCUAUGUAUCAGUUUCUGAUUGAGACUUUAAUCCGUUCUAUCUUGGUUAAUGAGUAAUUAGUUGUGUUGAUUA